GACGAACGCUGGCGGCGUGCUUAACACAUGCAAGUCGAACGGUGAAGCGCCUUCCUUUUUGGUGGGUGUGGAUGAGUGGCGAACGGGUGAGUAACACGUGGGUAACCUGCCCCCUUCUUCUGGAUAACCGCAUGAAAGUGUGGCUAAUACGGGAUAUUCUGGGUCUGUCGCAUGAUGGGUCUGGGAAAGAUAUUGUUUCGGUGGGGGAUGGGCUCGCGGCCUAUCAGCUUGUUGGUGGGGUGAUGGCCUACCAAGGCGGUGACGGGUAGCCGGCCUGAGAGGGUGGACGGUCACGCUGGGACUGAGACACGGCCCAGACUCCUACGGGAGGCAGCAGUGAGGAAUAUUGCACGAUGGGCGCAAGCCUGAUGCAGCGACGCCGCGUGAGGGAUGGAGGCCUUCGGGUUGUGAACCUCUUUCGCCAGUGAAGCAGGCCUGCCUCGUUUGUGGGUGGGUUGACGGUAGCUGGAUAAGAAGCGCCGGCUAACUACGUG
rnacentral:rRNA from 1 species